rnacentral:lncRNA from 1 species
UACAGUUCUGGCCAAUCAUAAACCUCACCAGAAACAUAAAAACAUAGGAAGAUAAUAGAAGACAUUAUUAACAGAAGAAAAAAAUUCCUCCAUCUGAGCUACUGCUGAGCCACCUUACAUCUGCUUUUCUUCACUACUCUUCCCAAAAGUCCUUGAUCAUUAAAGACAACAGCUGGUAAUUCUCCACUUGAUUACACACAAACAUUACAGUGACCAAAGGUGUAGAGGAUACACACAAGCGAAGGAUUUUAAUAUUUGUAUACAUAUAUACAUUAUACUAAUAUUUGUAAGCAUAAAUAUGUUAUUUUAAGGCUUUGCAACAUCCAUUCCAUCCUCAUGUGCACAGAUUCUCAAGGAAGCCAUUCACUGAGUACACAGAUGACACUCCUGACCUUUGACACCUUUUGCUGGCUAGAGAUUAUAAAAGAUUGAUCCAUGGACCUUAUUGGAUCUUAUUCUGCACCAAUGGAUCGGGCUCGAUUAGUCGACCACUUCAAGAUGGUUCGGUCGGAGCCUGUUUCAUCUCUCCAAACGCAUCAUCGUCCACUGUCUGCAAGCACUAGAAUCAAACAUUUCUCUGAAUCAAUUAGUACUGCUAUUCUUAGUUGAUGGGAUAUAUAGAUACAUCUAAAUCAAAAGGAGACAGGAUUCUGUGCACUUAACUGUAUGAUGUUCAUCUCAGAUGAUGGAAGCUCCACCAGAAAAUGUUGCUCCAAAGCUAUGUGCAACAAGGUAUUAAGACAUUUAAAUGCACUCUGCUGCUGCAUCCUAACCAUUUACUAUCUGUCUGACUGUAUUUAUGUUCAUGUACAGUG